AGGAGAGUUUGAUCCUGGCUCAGGAUGAACGCUGGCGGCGUGCCUAACACAUGCAAGUCGAACGAAGCGUCCCGCCCGAAGAGAAGGAGUGCUUGCACAAUUUUAAUUCAAUUGGGAUGACUUAGUGGCGGACGGGUGAGUAACGCGUGGGUAACCUGCCUUAUACAGGGGGAUAACAGUUAGAAAUGACUGCUAAUACCGCAUAAGCGCACAGAAUCGCAUGAUACAGUGUGAAAAGCCGAGACGGUAUAAGAUGGACCCGCGUCUGAUUAGCCAGUUGGCAGGGUAACGGCCUACCAAAGCGACGAUCAGUAGCCGGCCUGAGAGGGUGAACGGCCACAUUGGGACUGAGACACGGCCCAAACUCCUACGGGAGGCAGCAGUGGGGGAUAUUGCACAAUGGGGGAAACCCUGAUGCAGCGACGCCGCGUGAGCGAAGAAGUAUUUCGGUAUGUAAAGCUCUAUCAGCAGGGAAGAAAAUGACGGUACCUGACUAAGAAGCUCCGGCUAAAUACGUGCCAGCAGCCGCGGUAAUACGUAUGGAGCAAGCGUUAUCCGGAUUUACUGGGUGUAAAGGGAGGGUUGGCGGUUUGCCCAGUUUGAAUGUGAAAGGUGAAGGCUUCACCCCUUAAAUUCCAUGGGAAACUGGUGGACUAGAGUGUCGGAGAGGUAAGUGGAAUUCCUAGUGUAGCGGUGAAAUGCGUAGAUAUUAGGAGGAACACCAGCGGCGAAGGCGGCUUACUGGACGAUAACUGACGUUGAGGCUCGAAAGCGUGGGGAGCAAACAGGAUUAGAUACCCUGGUAGUCCCCU
rnacentral:rRNA from 1 species